AGACGUAGGGCGCGAGCGUUGUCCGGAUUUAUUGGGCGUAAAGAGCUCGUAGGCGGCUUGUCGCGUCGACUGUGAAAACCCGCAGCUCAACUGCGGGCCUGCAGCCGAUACGGGCAGGCUAGAGUUCGGUAGGGGAGACUGGAAUUCCUGGUGUAGCGGUGAAAUGCGCAGAUAUCAGGAGGAACACCGGUGGCGAAGGCGGGUCUCUGGGCCGAUACUGACGCUGAGGAGCGAAAGCGUGGGGAGCGAACAGGAUUAGAUACCCUGGUAGUCCACGCUGUAAACGUUGGGCGCUAGGUGUGGGGGGCCUCUCCGGUUCUCUGUGCCGUAGCUAGCGCAUUAAGCGCCCCGCCUGGGGAGUACGGCCGCAAGGCUAAA
rnacentral:rRNA from 1 species